AUUGAACGCUGGCGGCAGGCCUAACACAUGCAAGUCGAACGAGUGGCGGACGGGUGAGUAAUGUCUGGGAAACUGCCUGAUGGAGGGGGAUAACUACUGGAAACGGUAGCUAAUACCGCAUACCAUCGGAUGUGCCCAGAUGGGAUUAGCUAGUGGGUGGGGUAACGGCUCACAUAGGCGACGCUCCCUAGCUGGUCUGAGAGGCUGACCGGCCACACUGGAACUGAGACACGGCCCAGACUCCUACGGGAGGCAGCAGUGGGGAAUAUUGCACAAGGGGCGAAAGCCUGAUGCAGCCAUGCGGCGUGUAUGAAGAAGGCCUUCGGGUUGUAAAGUACGUUCAGCGGGGAGGCGUUACCCGCAGAAGAAGCACCGGCUAACUCCGUGCCAGCAGCCGCGGUAAUAC
rnacentral:rRNA from 1 species